AGCGUACACGGUGGAUGCCCUGGCAGUCAGAGGCGAUGAAGGACGUGCUAAUCUGCGAUAAGCGUCGGUAAGGUGAUAUGAACCGUUAUAACCGGCGAUUUCCGAAUGGGGAAACCCAGUGUGAUUCGUCACACUAUCAUUAACUGAAUCCAUAGGUUAAUGAGGCGAACCGGGGGAACUGAAACAUCUAAGUACCCCGAGGAAAAGAAAUCAACCGAGAUUCCCCCAGUAGCGGCGAGCGAACGGGGAGCAGCCCAGAGCCUGAAUCAGUGUGUGUGUUAGUGGAAGCGUCUGGAAAGGCGCGCGAUACAGGGUGACAGCCCCGUACACAAAAAUGCACAUGCUGUGAGCUCGAUGAGUAGGGCGGGACACGUGGUAUCCUGUCUGAAUAUGGGGGGACCAUCCUCCAAGGCUAAAUACUCCUGACUGACCGAUAGUGAACCAGUACCGUGAGGGAAAGGCGAAAAGAACCCCGGCGAGGGGAGUGAAAAAGAACCUGAAACCGUGUACGUACAAGCAGUGGGAGCCUCUUUAUGGGGUGACUGCGUACCUUUUGUAUAAUGGGUCAGCGACUUAUAUUCUGUAGCAAGGUUAACCGAAUAGGGGAGCCGAAGGGAAACCGAGUCUUAACUGGGCGUUAAGUUGCAGGGUAUAGACCCGAAACCCGGUGAUCUAGCCAUGGGCAGGUUGAAGGUUGGGUAACACUAACUGGAGGACCGAACCGACUAAUGUUGAAAAAUUAGCGGAUGACUUGUGGCUGGGGGUGAAAGGCCAAUCAAACCGGGAGAUAGCUGGUUCUCCCCGAAAGCUAUUUAGGUAGCGCCUCGUGAAUUCAUCUCCGGGGGUAGAGCACUGUUUCGGCAAGGGGGUCAUCCCGACUUACCAACCCGAUGCAAACUGCGAAUACCGGAGAAUGUUAUCACGGGAGACACACGGCGGGUGCUAACGUCCGUCGUGAAGAGGGAAACAACCCAGACCGCCAGCUAAGGUCCCAAAGUCAUGGUUAAGUGGGAAACGAUGUGGGAAGGCCCAGACAGCCAGGAUGUUGGCUUAGAAGCAGCCAUCAUUUAAAGAAAGCGUAAUAGCUCACUGGUCGAGUCGGCCUGCGCGGAAGAUGUAACGGGGCUAAACCAUGCACCGAAGCUGCGGCAGCGACACUAUGUGUUGUUGGGUAGGGGAGCGUUCUGUAAGCCUGCGAAGGUGUACUGUGAGGUAUGCUGGAGGUAUCAGAAGUGCGAAUGCUGACAUAAGUAACGAUAAAGCGGGUGAAAAGCCCGCUCGCCGGAAGACCAAGGGUUCCUGUCCAACGUUAAUCGGGGCAGGGUGAGUCGACCCCUAAGGCGAGGCCGAAAGGCGUAGUCGAUGGGAAACAGGUUAAUAUUCCUGUACUUGGUGUUACUGCGAAGGGGGGACGGAGAAGGCUAUGUUGGCCGGGCGACGGUUGUCCCGGUUUAAGCGUGUAGGCUGGUUUUCCAGGCAAAUCCGGAAAAUCAAGGCUGAGGCGUGAUGACGAGGCACUACGGUGCUGAAGCAACAAAUGCCCUGCUUCCAGGAAAAGCCUCUAAGCAUCAGGUAACAUCAAAUCGUACCCCAAACCGACACAGGUGGUCAGGUAGAGAAUACCAAGGCGCUUGAGAGAACUCGGGUGAAGGAACUAGGCAAAAUGGUGCCGUAACUUCGGGAGAAGGCACGCUGAUACGUAGGUGAAGUCCCUUGCGGAUGGAGCUGAAAUCAGUCGAAGAUACCAGCUGGCUGCAACUGUUUAUUAAAAACACAGCACUGUGCAAACACGAAAGUGGACGUAUACGGUGUGACGCCUGCCCGGUGCCGGAAGGUUAAUUGAUGGGGUUAGCGCAAACGCGAAGCUCUUGAUCGAAGCCCCGGUAAACGGCGGCCGUAACUAUAACGGUCCUAAGGUAGCGAAAUUCCUUGUCGGGUAAGUUCCGACCUGCACGAAUGGCGUAAUGAUGGCCAGGCUGUCUCCACCCGAGACUCAGUGAAAUUGAACUCGCUGUGAAGAUGCAGUGUACCCGCGGCAAGACGGAAAGACCCCGUGAACCUUUACUAUAGCUUGACACUGAACAUUGAGCCUUGAUGUGUAGGAUAGGUGGGAGGCUUUGAAGUGUGGACGCCAGUCUGCAUGGAGCCGACCUUGAAAUACCACCCUUUAAUGUUUGAUGUUCUAACGUUGGCCCCUAAUCGGGGUUGCGGACAGUGUCUGGUGGGUAGUUUGACUGGGGCGGUCUCCUCCUAAAGAGUAACGGAGGAGCACGAAGGUUGGCUAAUCCUGGUCGGACAUCAGGAGGUUAGUGCAAUGGCAUAAGCCAGCUUGACUGCGAGCGUGACGGCGCGAGCAGGUGCGAAAGCAGGUCAUAGUGAUCCGGUGGUUCUGAAUGGAAGGGCCAUCGCUCAACGGAUAAAAGGUACUCCGGGGAUAACAGGCUGAUACCGCCCAAGAGUUCAUAUCGACGGCGGUGUUUGGCACCUCGAUGUCGGCUCAUCACAUCCUGGGGCUGAAGUAGGUCCCAAGGGUAUGGCUGUUCGCCAUUUAAAGUGGUACGCGAGCUGGGUUUAGAACGUCGUGAGACAGUUCGGUCCCUAUCUGCCGUGGGCGCUGGAGAACUGAGGGGGGCUGCUCCUAGUACGAGAGGACCGGAGUGGACGCAUCACUGGUGUUCGGGUUGUCAUGCCAAUGGCACUGCCCGGUAGCUAAAUGCGGAAGAGAUAAGUGCUGAAAGCAUCUAAGCACGAAACUUGCCCCGAGAUGAGUUCU
rnacentral:rRNA from 1 species